CUCCUGCAAGUUCUGCAGUCCUGGUUGGGCCGUGCUCUCUGGGAACUGACCCCCCCCGGCACCUUCUGCUCCAAGACGACCACUGACCCACCCACCCAGAAGUGCCUCCCUCUAAAGUGACCCCUCCCGUCUCUCACUCUCGGCCUCUCCCGCAGGGCUGCUGGCCUCGGCUUGCUGGUAGAGCAUUUGAUAAAAGGACUCUUUUAUCCCAAACGAAAACUCACUUGAGAAGUUUUCAGACUUUUGACCAAGGAAAGUGGAGCAUUGUGGGUGCUCGGGGGUGGACAGGCCUCUGGCAGCUGUGGGAUGCUCUGUCCGCGCGGCCGUGGGGUGCUCUGUCCGCGCGGCCGUGGGGUGCUCUGUCCGCGCGGCCGUGGGGUGCUCUGUCCGCGCGGCCGUGGGGUGCUCUGUCUGCGCGGCUGUGGGAUGCUCUGUCCGUGCGGCUGUGGGAUGCUCUGCAUGGCUGUGGGAUGCUCUGCAUGGCUGUGGGAUGCUCUGCAUGGCUGUGGGAUGCUCUGCAUGGCUGUGGGAUGCUUUGCCCGUGCGGCUGUGGGAGGAAACUGAAGUCAGAGAUAGGUGGUCAGGCUUGCCCAGUGGGGGGAAAAAAAAUAGCUGAACUUGAUGGUGUGUUUAAUGCGUCCCUGACAUUUUGCCACACACUGUCUCAUUUAACCAGCACAGCUGACUGGGAAGGAGCCGCCAAAGCCACCUCCACUUCGUGAACAAGUGGCUGAGGCAAAUCCCUCAACCUGCCCACCAUCCCCACAUCAGAAAGUGAAGGUGUUGGGUCCACGUCCAGGUCCUGGUCCCGGAGGGCUUUCUCCCUGAAGGGAGGUGAGUGCCCUGAGCAGGCCUCACGCUUCCCCAGGUACAAUAAGAAGACGCUCGGCGUCUGGCACACGCGUUUCCCGUGAAGUUCAGUGACAUCAGGAGAGAAUUGUUUGGAUCUUCCAGCCAAGGCUCUAUAGCCUCGGAUUUCCAUCCAGUGUUGAUACCAGGUUUUGACAUUCCAUUGUUCCUGCUACAGAUCUCCCUCCAUGUUUCCUGAAAGGUCCAUCUCAGCCGCCUCACUGCCUCUGUGACGUCAAUACCGGAGAGAAGGUGGUGGAAUCCACCACAGGAAAUGGGAACCAGGUCAUUUCUCCAUAUUUAAUUAACAGAAUUUCUCCUCUCAUUUAUUGCCAGCAAAAGAACAGGGUUGGUAAUGAAUAGAGUUGCACAGUUAUUUUUUGGAGGGGAAUAAAGUGGCAACUGGUCUAGACUAAGAACCUGCAUCUCCUGGUAUCUGCUCCAACUGUGGGAAACGGCCAAGCUGUGCAGCCGUGCCCCUCAGCAGGGAGGACAGAGCCCUUCUCAGCCCUUCUCCCUGUCUGGCGCCAGAGUUUCUGGAUCAGAAAAGGCAGCUAUUAUGAUGUGUAAUUCUGUAAAUCAUUACAAAAAUGCUGUUUUUUAUAAUAUAUUGAGCUGGUAUUGAAGGUACUGAGUACCCUUCAGACUGGUCUGAUGUCCUUCCUUUCCCCAGGUAAUUGCAGAACCCAGGUAUAGAUGGAUGCAACGGUGGUAACAGCAGGUUUUAUCCUCUCCUGUGUGGUUCAGGAAUGACCUCACCUCAAAGGGAGGACUGUAGAUAACACUGUCUUUUCUAUCCUGGGACCCUACCGGCCUCCAUUCAGGUCGAGCUGCCUCACAUCUGUGCCUGUGUUGUGCACUAGAAACUAACAAAGUCUUUGCUUUGCUAUUUGGACUUCUAUAUAUGGAAAAAGAUUCCUUUGUUCUUUUCCUUGGGCAUACAUUUGGCAGCCUACAUGCUGGGUGAUGUUCUAAAUAUUUAACAACCAGCAGGCCCGGGACCAACCAGCCAGGAAGGGUGACUGCAGUGAGCACCCAGGGGUAUGAAGCUUGCAGCAGCCUCCCUGCCCAGGGCUCCCUGACCCUACUGAAGACAGCAGGGAAAGCUUAAGUUUUAUUCAGAGUUCACAGUAUUUUCUGUAGUGCAGUGAUGCUUAUUUUUUCCCCAGUGGUUCAGAAGUUAAGGACCCAUUCCCAGGAGAAAGGUACGCACACACUCCAUUUUGCUUGCAAUUGGAAGGACUCACAGACUGGCUGAAGCUCUCAGUAUCAAAAAGCACUUUCUCUGAAGUGGGAGAUCCACAAAACCAAGUCCUAGCACCCCCUUGCAGGCGCUGGCAUCCAUAGGGGUGGAGUCCCAGAGAACAAUGACCUUUCACCAUUCCUAAGAGCUGCAGGAAAGGCGUGAUACUUUAUUUUCAAUAUUUUUGGUAACUUUUAAUUUUGAUAGAGUUUCAAUCUUAAGGAAAAGCUAAUAAACAGCCAGAACAGUCUAAUACAUUUCCAUAUGUCCUUUAGCUAGGUUCAACUAUUAUUGACCUUUUACACCAUUUGCCUAUCACUCUGUCUGUGUACACUCACACACACACACACACACACACACACACACACACACACUUUUCAAGCCACCCGAGAUUAAGUCAAGCCCCUUUAUCAAAGUGUGCAUUUGGUAAGAUCAAAAUGUUCUUUUACGUUUAUGCAACUUAACGAUCAAAAUUGGGAAUGUUAACAUUUGGCUCAGUUAUGUUUUCUAAUCCAGUGGUUCUCAAGGUGAGGUCCCCAGAUCUGUGGCAGCAUCUCUUGGAAGCUUUUUGGCCAUGGAGACCCCUUGUGAAUGGAAGCCUUGGUGAUGGGGCCCAACAGCCUUCCCUCUACACGCUUCCAGGUGAUUCUGACACAGCUAGGGUUGUGGAAUUGCUAAUGUUAUCAAGCGACUCAAUAACAUCAGUCCUAGGUAUUUUUUUUUUUCCUAUCCAGGAUUUAAUCCAGGAAUCCACAUAGCAUUUAGUUGUCAUGGCUCUUUAAUUUUCUUCAACCUGGGAUGGUUCUUCCCCUUUUCUGGGUCUUUCUUGAUCUUGAAGUGUUUGAAGAAGACAGGCCCAUCCUUCGGCAGACUGCUCCUUAAUUUGGAUUUGUCUGGUGUUGUGCAUGAUGGGAUUCGAGCCAUGAACCUGGGGUGGGACUGUCACUGAAGCCACACUGCAUUGCUUCUGGGCUGCACUUCAGGGGCCACGUGACGUUGGUUGCUCCAGCAUUGGUGACAUCAGCUUUGAUCCUGUGAUUAGUGUGGUGUCUAUUAUGUUUCUUUGUUGAAAAUUUUAUUCUAAUUAGUAAUUUGUGGGGACAUACACUGAGACUAUGGAAAUAUCCUAUUCUUCUUUUAGCAUCUACUGGUGGUUCCCUAACUUCAUCAUUUCUUCUAUGUUAUUUAGAUAUUAUAGUAAGUAUUACUGAUAUGUAAGAUAUAACAAAAUAUAAUAUAGAGAUAGGCAUAGGCAUUUUUUUUAAUAAGGGAGACCUUUCUCUUCUCCCUCAUUUAUUAUUUAUUUACAUCUAUAUAGUC
ensembl:lncRNA